AGUGGCGGACGGGUGAGUAAUGCUUGGGAACUUGCCUUUGCGAGGGGGAUAACAGUUGGAAACGACUGCUAAUACCGCAUAAUGUCUUCGGACCAAACGGGGCUUCGGCUCCGGCGCAAAGAGAGGCCCAAGUGAGAUUAGCUAGUUGGUAAGGUAACGGCUUACCAAGGCGACGAUCUCUAGCUGUUCUGAGAGGAAGAUCAGCCACACUGGGACUGAGACACGGCCCAGACUCCUACGGGAGGCAGCAGUGGGGAAUAUUGCACAAUGGGGGAAACCCUGAUGCAGCCAUGCCGCGUGUGUGAAGAAGGCCUUCGGGUUGUAAAGCACUUUCAGUUGUGAGGAAAAGUUAGUAGUUAAUACCUGCUAGCCGUGACGUUAACAACAGAAGAAGCACCGGCUAACUCCGUGCCAGCAGCCGCGGUAAUACGGAGGGUGCGAGCGUUAAUCGGAAUUACUGGGCGUAAAGCGCACGCAGGCGGUUUGUUAAGCUAGAUGUGAAAGCCCCGGGCUCAACCUGGGAUGGUCAUUUAGAACUGGCAGACUAGAGUCUUGGAGAGGGGAGUGGAAUUCCAGGUGUAGCGGUGAAAUGCGUAGAUAUCUGGAGGAACAUCAGUGGCGAAGGCGACUCCCUGGCCAAAGACUGACGCUCAUGUGCGAAAGUGUGGGUAGCGAACAGGAUUAGAUACCCUGGUAGUCCACACCGUAAACGCUGUCUACUAGCUGUGUGUG
rnacentral:rRNA from 1 species